ensembl:lncRNA
GCUCUGGAUAAGAGCAUCUGCUAAAUGCUGUAAAUGUAAAUGUACCAUAUAGGCUGACCAUAAGGCCAGUAUAAAGACAGUUCAUGUCCUGUGUUUUCAGUGUGCAAAGUUAUUUGUUUUCUUGAUACAUAAUAUUUUAAGACAAAAAAGACAGGCCUUACUCAUAAAGAAAAGAUAAGCUAUUUCCCUGUCUGUCAUAUGUUUGUUUCUGCAUUAGGUUACCUGUAUGCACUGAUCAGCCAUAAAAUUAUGACCACCUCCUUCUUUUUAUGCUCAUUGUCCAUUUUAUCAGCUCCACUUACUAUAUAGGAGCACUUUGUAGUUCUACAGUUGCAGACUGUAGUCCAUCUGUUUCUCUGCGUACUUUGUUAGACCCCUUUUACCCUGUUCUUCAGUGGUCAGGACCCCCAUGGACCAGAGCAGGUACUAUUUGGGUGAUGGAUCAUUCUCAGUAAUGCAGUAACACUGAUGUGGUGGUGGUGUGUUGCGCUGGUCUGAGUGGAUCAGGCACAGCAGUGCUGCUGAAGUUUGUACACAUGUCCCAGUAAUGAUGUGUAAUUGAUAAACUCCAGAAUCUUCUCUGCUGAUGUUUGUGAUGGUUAAACAUCCACUGGUUCUGUUCAGCUGCUGUAAUAGUCUGUAAUAGUCUCUCCUCUAAUGAUCAGGCUGUUCACUAUCUUUAUAUCUGCAUUCUCAGAUCUAUAGAACCACAGUAUGUGAGCAUCACUCUGAGCUCUAGUUAAUCCAGUAUGGAUGGUUACAGUGUUUCCCUCCAGCUCCUGCAGUCUGACAACCUCUUCUCCAGCUGUGAGCACCAGACCUGAGACACAAGAGGCCCGGGGGGGUGGCCCGGGUUAUUUCCCCCCCUUCUCGGGUAUCGCCCUCCGGCCUUCCUCCGCUGCCAGUGCACCUCCAGGCUCCAUCCAGGACAUCCUUGGAAGGUGACUUCAACUGACAACGGCAACUGUGACGUGGAGUUCCUGAUCGGGAUUUGAACCGAUAACCCCCCCACCACGGGGCAUGGCAUCUACCAGCGAGCCACAGGAUCUCACAAGGCUUUCUUAUUUUUUUUCGACAUUUAUCUCUCAGAUUUCCAACUUGCUGUGUGAAAAGCAGUAGCUUGAGCAAGAUUUGAACCCACAACCUUUUGAGUGCAACUACAUUGCUUUUCUUAGUGAGCCACCGUGGCUCAGGUCCAGCACCUUUUUUUUUGGACAUUUGAUUGAUGAUAAUAAGGAUGCCUGAACAUGAGUUUAAUAGUGAAGAUAUGUGCAUAAGCUACUAUGGCUUGUUUACAGUGAUCUUUUUUGUUUGGAUAUUUGACUUUGAGAUUCCCAGGCUUUCUACUGUUUCUACUGAUGCUUCUAAGACUCUUAGACCAGGAUCAUUAGAGGAAGAGGAAGACUGACUGUUCAGACCUGAAUAAACGGCAGUCUAAAUAAUACAGUCCUGAAAGCUUCCUGUUUUCUUCCUAAUAAUGCAUGAUUGUGCAUUCAAACAAUGGAAAGUGAAAUGGGUGAAAAGGGCUUAUGUCUCAAUUUAAUAAUCG